rnacentral:rRNA from 1 species
AAUAGAUACCCAGGUAGUCCACGCCGUAAACGAUGGUUACUAGGUGUCCGGGAUGUUAACCUCCUGGGUACCGUAGCUCACGCAUUAAGUAACCCGCCUGGGGAGUACGGUCGCAAGGCUAAAACUCAAAGGAAUUGACGGGGGCCCGCACAAGCGGUGGAGUAUGUGGUUUAAUUCGAAGCAACGCGCAGAACCUUACCUGGGCUUAACAUCCACUGACAACUGCAGAGAUGUAGUGUUCCCUUCGGGGACAGUGAGAUAGGUGCUGCAUGGCUGUCGUCAGCUCGUGUCGUAAGAUGUUGGGUUAAGUCCCGCAACGAGCGCAACCCUUGUCCUUAGUUGCCACCAUUAAGUUGGGCACUCUGAGGAGACCGCCGGUGUUAAACCGGAGGAAGGCGGGGAUGACGUCAAGUCCUCAUGGCCCUUACGUCCAGGGCUACACACGUACUACAAUGGCAGAAACAAUGCGUCGCGAAGCCGUGAGGUGGAGCUAAUCGCAAAACCACUGUCUCAGUCCGGAUUGAAGUCUGCAACUCGACUUCA